rnacentral:lncRNA from 1 species
AAACAGUUGAGAACAGACUCCACCUUGUGGGACAGUGGCAUUUCUGAAAGUUCAAAACAAUUCCCCGAGCAACUUUACCUCACAAUCUCAUUGGAACGGCUGCAUCUGUGGGGCCCUGGGAGAGACUCAGCAGCAGACAGGGUCUCCAGAGCACACGACAAGAGGAAGAAUGCAUGAAGGUCCACCGGCAGUCGAAUCAGCCAAAGCACAAGACAAACACAAAGUCUUGCUCUGUCGCCCAGGCUGGAGUGCAGUGGUGCGACCUUGGCUCACUGGUUUGGGGCAUGUUCCUGGGUGUGUCUGUGAGGAGCAAGAAAGCCAGUUCAAGUCCCAAAACCUCAAAAGUAGGGAAGCCGACAGGGCAGCCUUAAGUCUGUGGCUGAAGGCCUGAGAGCCCCUGGCAAAUCACUGAUAUAAGUCCAAAAGCUGAAGAACUUGGAAUCUGAUGCUGGAAUCUGAUCUUGGCCCAUCCUUGAAGAAUCUGGGGGGUAAUAAAUACCCUGAACAUUGAUGAACCCAAAGGGAAGCCAGAAGGUCAGAUGUCGGCUGUCGGGAAGAAAGGCUGGAUAGGAAAUAGGAAAAAGCAGGGCAAACAAGGAGCUUCAAGGACUGAGACCCUUAAGAACCACUUGACUCUGUCUCUCACCACCUCCAGCCUUGAUGACACGGUGACAUACAGAAGAACUGAUGCCCUUUGCUUUGAGCUGCACAAAAACCUGGCGCUGGACUUGGAGAAGCUGAAAGACAGGACCCGGCAGGAGCCUGAGGAGCUGCAGGCUGCUAGCCUGUAGACCACCGUGCUGUGUUAGCCGCUGCAGCUGGGACCAUUCUGACACUCAGAGCCUGGAAAUGGCUGCUCCCUCCUGCCUGCUAUCCAAGUAUCCUGUGGAUACUUGGCUUUUCUCUUGUGGGCAACACUAACCUGAAACUCUUUGGGGAAGGGAAUUGAGGAAAUGUAGUUCCAAGAUUAGCCAAUUUAACUCAGCAUAAACCCAUCACAGGGUUUGACUACAGAGUUAUAACUUUAUUCUGUAGGCAAUGAAAACAGAAGUUUUUGAAAAAGACAUCAAUUUGAUGAAAUUGAUAUUUUGGGGAAGAUUAAUCUUCUGCUGAGUAAAAUAUAACAGGUUGGAGGAAGAUGAAAAUGGAGAGAGUAGAGUGUAAUUAAAAGUUUGUUGGAGGCCGGGCACGGUGGCUCACGCCUGUAAUCCCAGCACUUUGGGAGGCCGAGGUGGGCGGAUCACCUGAGGUCAGGAGCUUGAGAUCAUCCCGGCCAACAUAGUGAAACCCUGUCUCUAAUAAAAAUGUGAAAAAUUAGCUGGGCAUGGUGGCGCACACCUGUAAUCUCAGCGACUCGGGAGGCUGAGGCAGGAGAAUCCCUUGAACCCAGGAGGCAGAGGUUGCAGUGAGCCAAGAUGGUGUGAUUGCACUCCAGCCCAGGGGACAAUGUGAGACUCUGUCUCAAAAAAAAAAAAAAAAAAAAAAGUUUGUUGUAGUAGUCCAGGUGUCCGGGUGUUGUUACCAGGGCACCCAUGAUGAAAUAACUGGGAGAGUCCUUUUUUCUGACUGGUUUUCUUCAGUCCCUUUAUCUACAGGCACAACUGCUGAAGAAACCAGAUGGCCUGGGAUGGCACCAGAGCUUUUUUACCCUUGACCAGAUACUAGAAGGAAUUAAGACCCCACAAGUGGGCACGAACUGGAACUGGCGACCCCUAGUUGCCUUCAGAUCAUUAACACAUCAUUAUAAUGCUAAAAUUCCCUGCCAUUUUGUGAACAUGGGUUGCAUGAAGACGUAAGUUUAUGAAUUGCCUCUGCACACCUAGAGUCCCACCCUGUACGGGCUAACAUUCCUCCCUACAUGCAUCCCCCCACAAACACACCCUGCCUCCCCCAGUCCUUAGAAACCCUAUGCCUGGCCGGGCGCAGUGGCUCACGCCUGUAAUCCCAGCACUUUGGGAGGCUGAGGCGGGCGGAUCACUAGGUCAGGAGAUCGAGACCAUUCUGGCUAACACGGUGAAACCCUGUCUUUACUAAAAAUCC